rnacentral:rRNA from 1 species
AGAGUUUGAUCCUGGCUCAGAACGAACGCUGGCGGCAGGCUUAACACAUGCAAGUCGAACGCACCUUCGGGUGAGUGGCAGACGGGUGAGUAACGCGUGGGAACGUGCCCUUCAGUUCGGAAUAACCCAGGGAAACUUGGGCUAAUACCGGAUACGUGCGAGAGCAGAAAGAUUUAUCGCUGAAGGAUCGGCCCGCGUCUGAUUAGCUAGUUGGUGGGGUAAUGGCCCACCAAGGCGACGAUCAGUAGCUGGUCUGAGAGGAUGAUCAGCCACAUUGGGACUGAGACACGGCCCAAACUCCUACGGGAGGCAGCAGUGGGGAAUAUUGGACAAUGGGCGCAAGCCUGAUCCAGCCAUGCCGCGUGAGUGAUGAAGGCCUUAGGGUUGUAAAGCUCUUUCGGCGGGGACGAUAAUGACGGUACCCGCAGAAGAAGCCCCAGCUAACUUCGUGCCAGCAGCCGCGGUAAUACGAAGGGGGCUAGCGUUGUUCGGAAUCACUGGGCGUAAAGGGCGCGUAGGCGGCUUGAUAAGUCGGGGGUGAAAGCCUGUGGCUCAACCACAGAAUUGCCUUCGAUACUGUCUGGCUUGAGACCGGAAGAGGUAAGUGGAACUGCGAGUGUAGAGGUGAAAUUCGUAGAUAUUCGCAAGAACACCAGUGGCGAAGGCGGCUUACUGGUCCGGUUCUGACGCUGAGGCGCGAAAGCGUGGGGAGCAAACAGGAUUAGAUACCCUAGUAGUCC